rfam:Tetrahymena thermophila SB210 genomic scaffold scf_8254663, whole genome shotgun sequence.
GCUCAGAUAGCUCAGUUGGUUAGAGCUUUGGUCUUAUGAGCCAAAGGUCGUGGGUUCGAGCCCCACUUUGAGCA